rnacentral:lncRNA from 1 species
UUUAAGGUAGUACUUCAGUAUCAUAUAACCCUGAGUGGUCUGGUGGAGAAGAUCAGUGUGCAUAUUCUUGAGUGGGGUGGGUUCAAUACUCAUGAGUGGCAUUUUUGACAUUUUAUUUCUUUUAGUUAUAUUAUUUUCUUUUAGCAUUUUUUGUUAUUGUAGUAUUUUUAUUAACAUUUUCUUUUUUUUAUGUUUAUUAUAAUUUCAUUUGUUAAUAAUGCAUAGUUGUUGUAUUUUAAUUUAGUUCAAAAACCAUUUUUUAAACUAUAAAAAUCAUACUUUUCUCGAUUUAAUAUCGAGCCCAUUUU